UACGUAGGCAGCAAGCGUUGUUCGGAGUUACUGGGCGUAAAGAGUGCGUAGGCGGCGGCUCAAGUCUGGUGUGAAAUCUCCCUGGCUCAACCGGGAGGGGGCGCCGGAAACGGGGCGGCUUGGAGGGUGGGAGAGGCAGGCGGAAUUCCUGGUGUAGCGGUGAAAUGCGUAGAGAUCAGGAGGAACACCCGCGGUGGAGACGGCCUGCUGGACCACUACUGACGCUGAGGCACGAAAGCGUGGGGAGCAAACAGG
rnacentral:rRNA from 1 species